CUGACAUCCCUGCCUGCUUCUGCCUGGCCGUGGGGAGAUGGGCAGGCAGAGCUGCCUGCAGCCUGCCAGAGGCAGCAGGGACAUCCCAGCCUUUCCCUCUGCUCCCCCUUUACCCCCCCAGCCUGAGAAGUUGGGAAUAAUUCCCGCGGCCAAUAAAACAAGUGGCAGAGAUGGACAGUGUUACUUAAAUAAACAAGGGUCUCUUUAAAAUUCUCAUCCACUUCAGAUGUCUAAAGUAAGAUUGUGAUGAUUUUGUCACGGUUUGGUAAAUUUACCCCUUUAAGAGGCUUUCAUAAAUCCCAGAACACACCUUCAGCCAGAUUUGAAUAUAGAUUUAGGUUUUAAAACCCAGAAGCUGGGAACACCGCUUUAUCAAAGAGAAUUUCCCUUUAGCUUAGCAAUGUGUCGGAAUGGCUCUUGCAAAGAUUGGAUCUGAGAGGGGGGAAAAGGGGGAACCUUCUUUCCUGGAGCAAUCCUGCACACACUUCGCAGCUGCCUCUGCCUUCAGCCUUCUGCAGCUCGGGGGAAAAGUUGCAAAAAAAAAAAACAAACAAAAAAAAAUUAAUAAUAAUUGUUGCAGCUGUAGGAACUUGAGUGGGGUUUUUUUUUUCAUUAUUUUUAUUUUUAUUUUUUUUUUAAACUUUCCAAUCUCUUCUGGUUCAUUUGGAAAGCGUUUCAGAGCAGGUACAGUCCCAGAGAGCCAGACUAGCUGGGGCUAUCGGGGAGUGAGUGGAGAUGUGUGAUUUUUCUGCCCUCUAAGAACUUUGUGCUCAGAGAACCAAAAUCUGCUUCUGGGAUGAAAAGAAACUGUAACUUCUGCUUCUCAAGGCUGUGGGAGUCUUGUCCCUCUUUGAACAUCUGGACUGGUGGGCACAACUGCACCCCCUGAGAAGAGGAGGCCAAGUGGCAAAACAGGGGCAAAACUGAAAGUGGGAUUCAAAUCUUCACUCCAGAUGUUCUGGUCCAGCAUUGAGGGGAUGUCAUGGCAACGGCUUGUCCCAACUCUGCUUGCUUUGGAAGAGAGUUUGGAAGUUUCCCAGGUCCUCCUUGUUCAUUUUGUGGACUCCAAUCAUCACUUACACGGAGGUCAGCUUGUGGAUCUUCGAGGUGCUUGAAGCUGUAGAGGCCAAGGAGAAAUUGAGCAGGACCCAUCUCUGAAGACCACCAAAAAGAUAUUUCGGUACCACGAUGUGAGGCACUACUGUUCGGUCCUUUGGGUGAAAUGAAGAGCAAACCUGAACUGCAGACUGGGGCUGCUAUUACCUUGAGGCAGCCACCCUAAGAGCUUAUGAGAAUAUUUAAGCUCUGGAUGUGGUUAUCUCAUUGAAGCUAUCAUGUCAUCGCAACUUCACGAGUAACCGUUCGUCAGCUGAGACCCAGAAACUCACCGCUACGUCGUAACCCAAAGUAGUUGUCUGCUUCGGUCCCCAGAGCUACAACUAUCUCAGAUAACAGGUCUUUGCAAAAGAUUCCUGGGACAGCCUAAUGGGAGGAAAUCAAGGGCGUUAGUGGGAAGAAGAGCUGGUGGGAAACAUAAGAACACUCCUGCCUGAGAGCUCUUGAACGACAACACCCUCCGAGCUUGUCCAGCAGAUCUCCUGGGAUCUCAUUCCACUCUUUCAUCCAGCAGCUGGAGGCCUCCUGCAGCCGAUGGACCCUGAUGGUGAUUAGCAAAGCAGACUGCUGAUGUGAGGCUCAUUCCUGUCUAAUGCCUGUAUGUGCAAUUAAAACCAUGGACAAUUUUGGCCUCAAAUAGCUGUCUCCAGACAAAGGCUGGUGCUACUUGUGAAGAAAAAAAUCUAUAUCUCCCCACAGCCUCGAGUCUUCCCCAGGGAUGGAGCUGUCUUUAUCUGUGAAAGUGCAUCCUAACAUGCCCUUGAAAAUUGAAGUCCUCUCCUGACUUGUUUUAUCCACCAGCAAUAGAACCCGUCCCUUCCAGGAGAGAAAGAAAAACAACAAACCCUCUAUUUUCUUUCCCCCUCACACAUUUUCAAUUAAAAUAGCUUUGUGCGAGCCAUACUGAAUGCACUACAGAUCUCUUUGCAUGGUUAAAGUUGAUUAAUUGGGGUCGGAAGUGAAAAUUAAAAAGUGGCAGUAGGUAACAAAAUACAAACAACCUCUCUCGGGCCUUGAGGAUGAUGGAGCACAAGCUGAGAUGGAUGAGCUGGUUCUGCCUUGAGGAGGACUGCCUCCUUCACCUUGGGUUAAACACUCAAGAGCAGAGCUGGAUUUUGAGGGGGAGGGGGCUGGCCUCAAAAUAAUAUGUCUAUAAUCCUCAAGAUAAUCAAUUUCUUACAGAUGCUUUGUAAACUUUCGUGUUCAAGAGCGCAAGCCAUAGUACUUUCUAAAUCCCUAGGGGUUGUACUUGGUAUCCGUUUGUUAUUUCCUAAUGCUAUUCAAUCUUUUUUUUUUCUCCCUGUUUUUUUGAAGCUUGCAGCAAUAAGCCUGAGACUUGUGUCGACAGUCGACACCGCUUCUGCCAUUCUGCAAUGAACUUUGUGCAUGUUUUCAUAUUCCUUUUCUUACACUCCUGAUAAAAGCAUUAUCAGGGAAAUUCAAAAGCAAGCAGAAAACUGGCAUAGCUAAUUUAGGCUAAUUAGUAUGGCAGAAGCUGAGUCUUGUACUUCAGAGGUUCCCAUGCCCUCCCAUGUCUCCACCUGAUCGCCUUGUCCAGCAGCAAACCCAGGAGGCAGCUCCAAUUAUAUCAUAACCUCUUCAAACACCAAGCCACUCAAGCUAAUUUUAUCCUAUUAAACAGACUGAAGGAUUCAGAAGAAAGGUUCUCCCCCAAAAGCUUCAAUUACCAGUGUCCCUGAUUACCAUCUUUACAAUCCUAUAUGCUACAGUUAAAUACUUUUUUGCUUAGUGUUGCUUUCUUGAUUUAGAUGAAAAGCGAGUAUUAAGAGCAUGUCUUUUCAACUCAAGCAAGUGACAUUCAUAAAAAAAAAAAAGGAGCCUCUCUUGUUAUUAGCGUGUUUAAUCAAAGUCAAGUUUAGAACCGUUCAAAGACAAUGUAAUUGGGGAAAUGUAAACAUCCCCUCUCAUCCGGUGGCAUUUAAAGCAGCCACAGGUAACUGCCAAUAACAGCAGCAAUGGCCAAAUGUAUUAGGUCUAGAGGAAAAAAAUAAAGAAAAAAACCAGCAGGAUCUUCUGAAGCAAGGAAAUGUCGAAUCGUGCUUGAAUUAAAUCUCAUGGCAGUAAUGAGCAAUAAAGACAAAAAAUAAUCUCUAGAGUACUGAGCUGGUUCAUCCUUCCUUGCCACAAUAUGUGGUAGACUUUGGCUUUGAGCACAUAGUCAUGCCUGGUUAAACAUACUCACAUGGGUCAAAGAUGUGCCUGGGCUUAGGACAGCCCACAACCUCUCCUCUGUAUGCCCCAGUGCUGAUGGUGACCUUGAGCCUUCACUCUCCAUCUCCAUGAUGCUUCUUCUCUGCUGACUGUGCCCAUGGGAAGGAGAAGUUCGGUGGGGAAACAUCUUGCCAUUUUCUGACUGCAGGUGCCUCCUGCAACCUUGGCUGAGGACUCCAGGUGUGCUAUAAUUUGAAUAAUCGUAGGAUCUCAUGAGACCACACCUGGAGUACUGCACC